rnacentral:rRNA from 1 species
UUAGCUACAGGCUUAACACAUGCAAGUCGAGGGGCAGCAUGUUCUUAGCUUGCUAAGGCCGAUGGCGACCGGCGCACGGGUGAGUAACACGUAUCCAACCUGCCGUCUACUCUUGGACAGCCUUCUGAAAGGAAGAUUAAUACAAGAUGGCAUCAUGAGUCCACAUGUUCACAUGAUUAAAGGUAUUCCGGUAGACGAUGGGGAUGCGUUCCAUUAGAUAGUAGGCGGGGUAACGGCCCACCUAGUCUUCGAUGGAUAGGGGUUCUGAGAGGAAGGUCCCCCACAUUGGAACUGAGACACGGUCCAAACUCCUACGGGAGGCAGCAGUGAGGAAUAUUGGUCAAUGGGCGAGAGCCUGAACCAGCCAAGUAGCGUGAAGGAUGACUGCCCUAUGGGUUGUAAACUUCUUUUAUAAAGGAAUAAAGUCGGGUAUGCAUACCCGUUUGCAUGUACUUUAUGAAUAAGGAUCGGCUAACUCCGUGCCAGCAGCCGCGGUAAUACGGAGGAUCCGAGCGUUAUCCGGAUUUAUUGGGUUUAAAGGGAGCGUAGAUGGAUGUUUAAGUCAGUUGUGAAAGUUUGCGGCUCAACCGUAAAAUUGCAGUUGAUACUGGAUAUCUUGAGUGCAGUUGAGGCAGGCGGAAUUCGUGGUGUAGCGGUGAAAUGCUUAGAUAUCACGAAGAACUCCGAUUGCGAAGGCAGCCUGCUAAGCUGCAACUGACAUUGAGGCUCGAAAGUGUGGGUAUCAAACAGGAUUAGAUACCCUGGUAGUCCACACGGUAAACGAUGAAUACUCGCUGUUUGCGAUAUACUGCAAGCGGCCAAGCGAAAGCGUUAAGUAUUCCACCUGGGGAGUACGCCGGCAACGGUGAAACUCAAAGGAAUUGACGGGGGCCCGCACAAGCGGAGGAACAUGUGGUUUAAUUCGAUGAUACGCGAGGAACCUUACCCGGGCUUAAAUUGCAGAUGAAUUACGGUGAAAGCCGUAAGCCGCAAGGCAUCUGUGAAGGUGCUGCAUGGUUGUCGUCAGCUCGUGCCGUGAGGUGUCGGCUUAAGUGCCAUAACGAGCGCAACCCUUGUUGUCAGUUACUAACAGGUUCCGCUGAGGACUCUGACAAGACUGCCAUCGUAAGAUGUGAGGAAGGUGGGGAUGACGUCAAAUCAGCACGGCCCUUACGUCCGGGGCUACACACGUGUUACAAUGGGGGGUACAGAGGGCCGCUACCACGCGAGUGGAUGCCAAUCCCCAAAACCUCUCUCAGUUCGGACUGGAGUCUGCAACCCGACUCCACGAAGCUGGAUUCGCUAGUAAUCGCGCAUCAGCCACGGCGCGGUGAAUACGUUCCCGGGCCUUGUACACACCGCCCGUCAAGCCAUGGGAGCCGGGGGUACCUGAAGUGCGUAACCGCGAGGAGCGCCCUAGGGUAAAACUGGUGACUGGGG